rnacentral:tRNA from 1 species
GGGCAAGUAGUCAAGUGGCCAACGACAACAGACUGUAAAUCUGUCCUCUUCGGAGUUCGGUGGUUCGAAUCCAUCCUUGCCCA